CACGAACGCUGGCGGCAGGCCUAACACAUGCAAGUCGAGCGAAGCCUUCGGGCUUAGCGGCGGACGGGUGAGUAGCGCGUGGGAACGUGCCCUUUGGUACGGGAUAGCCCCGGGAAACUGGGAGUAAUACCGUAUGUGGUCGAGAGACGAAAGAUUUAUCGCCAAAGGAUCGGCCCGCGUUGGAUUAGGUAGUUGGUGGGGUAAUGGCCUACCAAGCCGACGAUCCAUAGCUGGUUUGAGAGGAUGAUCAGCCACACUGGGACUGAGACACGGCCCAGACUCCUACGGGAGGCAGCAGUGAGGAAUCUUAGACAAUGGGGGAAACCCUGAUCUAGCCACGCCGCGUGAUCGAUGAAGGCCUUAGGGUUGUAAAGAUCUUUCAGUGGGGAAGAUAAUGACUGUACCCACAGAAGAAGCCCCGGCUAACUCCGUGCCAGCAGCCGCCGUAACAC
rnacentral:rRNA from 1 species